CCUUGUAAUAUUACACAGAUUGAUAUUCCCCCAUCUUGGUAUUAUCUGCAUUCAAAUGUACAUUCACAUAAUAUGUUAAAAUUCCCUUUUGAUGGCAAUUUAUGUUGUUUCUAACUUUCUGCUAUGAUGAUAAAUGAUGAAUGAACAAAUGACAGGAUACACAUUGAGCAAUCUUUAUAUGUGAUCUCAUAUACGAAGUGUUGGAGAAGGAAAUGGCAAUCCCCUCCAGUAUUCUCGCUUGGAAAACCUCAUGGACAGGGGAGCCAAGCAGCCUACAGUCCAUGGUGUCACAAAAGUGCUGGAUACGACUGAGCGACUGAACAACAAAUAUACAAAGGGUGUGUGUGUGUGUGUGUGUGUGUGUGUGUGUGUGUGUGUUCUUGGCACUUAAAAUGAUAUAUAUAGUGGACAAAACAAUACCGAGUUAGAUAAACAAUCAGUAUUUUGUUUAAUGUUCAUUAAUAGUUGGGUCAGCCAUUGAUGACUUAAAACAUCAUGAAAAGAGAACAAAAUACAGUCCUAUGAGUGUCAUGUCAUCUUUUUAUUCAAAGCAUUUUUAUAAUCAGUAUUUUUCUUUCUCAUAACCAGAUCCUACACCAUGUGAAGCCCUUACCAUAUUACAGCUACGACCAGCCGGUGAUCAGGUACUGCCAGGCUCACCAGCCACUCCAUGUCAACAAGGGCUACGAAGCAGUGUCUCCAGAACAGGACGAAUCUCCCUGUCUGGAGCUUGGGCACGACCACAGCUUCAUCGCCACCAUCGCCAGACCACAAAGAAACAAAGUUGCCCACAAAGUCUGACAGAACUACUGGAAUGAAAAUCCAACAAAAUCUGAGCAAAUGAUCCUUCAAGUCACAUUGUAUGCAAUGUGAAGAGUUUUGAAUUUUUUAUACUAUUGGCAGCCCACACUGUGAGCUUUCACUGUGUGACAGGUACAGAGAAAGACCUGGAAAGACCUCCAAAUAAGAAGACUCUUAGAAAGUUUCUCAACUUCAUAUACCUAAGGAUAUAUGAAGAACAAAGUCCAUGUGGUCAAUGAACAAAACUACCACGCUGAGAAAUUUCUAAACACAAGAUAAUGUGUCACCUUGCUUUUUAAAUUAAUUAUCAAUUAGCUUUUGUGUAGAUUUUAUCAAUAAAAGAAAAAAUAUUGGAAAAAAUAAACAAUUAUUUUGUGGUUAGUAUACCACAGCCCACCUAAUGUUGAGUGCUUUGUCUCUAUAUUACGGAAUCGUUCUAAUGUAUAGUGACAAUUUGAGAAGAAUAUUUUGAUAUCUGUCAAGUGCCUUCUAUAUGUUCUUCCCUCAGGUAAGGAAGUCCUACAAGAUUAGAAAAGAAUUAUGAGAUAUCUUACACACUAAUCGCUUUCAUAGUUUCAUUUACAGAUAUGAUGUGACUCAGAACUGUUUAGCAAUAAGAAAAAAUUAAGUAUUCAUGAAAGUUUUAGAGAUUGAAUGAUCUUCUAGGACAGACAGAACUGUGUGGAUAUUGAUUACAAGUUCAAUAAAGCAUAGUUAUCACCCAUUGUUUAACAAAGGAUAUACCUAUGCACACAUCAGUUGAGCCAUUUUCACUUGACUUCCUUGGUUCUGUGAUGCUAUCUCAUCAAUUCUCCGAUUCACUACAGACAUUAUCCUGAUCUAGCCACUUGUCUGAUUCGCUAUUUUUAAAAUAAAUUGAAAGUAUAUAAUGUAUGUCAUCCUUUAUUAGGUGAGAUUUUGCAUUCUGAAAGAUGCUAAUAUAUGGUGAUACUAGUGGGUUUUCUGAAGAACUAAAUUGAUUGCUGCCAUCCAUUUAAUUCCAAAUUCUCUUAAAAUAAAA
ensembl:lincRNA